rnacentral:rRNA from 1 species
AUUGAACCCUGGCGGCAGGCCUAACACAUGCAAGUGGAGCGGAGCGGCGGACGGGUGAGUAAGGCCUAGGAAUCUGCCUGGUAGUGGGGGAUAACGUCCGGAAACGGGCGCUAAUACCGCAUACUAUCAGAUGAGCCUAGGUCGGAGUAGUUAGUUGGUGGGGUAAAGGCCUACCAAGUCGAAGAUCAGUGACUGGUCUGAGAGGAUGAUCAGUCACAGUAGAACCGCAAAAAGGUGCAGACUCCUACGGGUGGUAGCGGUGGUGAAGAGUGGACAAUGGGCGAAAGCCUGGUCCAGGCAAGCCGCGUGUGUGAAAAUGUUCUUCGGAUUGUAAAGCACUUUAAGUUGGGAGGCGUUACCAACAGAAUGAGCACCGGCAAACUUCGUAGCAGCCGCAGCGGUAAAUC